rnacentral:rRNA from 1 species
CGUAGGGUACAAGCGUUGUCCGGAAUUAUUGGGGCGUAAAAGAGCUCGUAGGUGGUUGGUCACGUCUGCUGUGGAAACGCAAACGCUUAACGUUGCGCGUGCAGUGGGUACGGGCUGACUAGGGUGCAGUAGGGGAGUCUGGAAUUCCUGGUGUAGCGGUGAAAUGCGCAGAUAUCAGGAGGAACACCGGUGGCGAAAGGCGGGACUCUGGGCUGUAACUGACACUGAGGAGCGAAAAGCAUGGGGGAGCGAACAGGAUU